rnacentral:rRNA from 1 species
UACGAAGGGGGCUAGCGUUGCUCGGAAUCACUGGGCGUAAAGGGUGCGUAGGCGGGUCUUUUAAGUCAGGGGUGAAAUCCUGGAGCUCAACUCCAGAACUGCCUUUGAUACUGAAGAUCUUGAGUUCGGGAGAGGUGAGUGGAACUGCGAGUGUAGAGGUGAAAUUCGGUAGAUAUUCGCAAGAACACCAGUGGCGAAGGCGGCUCACUGGCCCGAUACUGACGCUGAGGCACGAAAGCGUGGGGAGCAAACAGG